rnacentral:rRNA from 1 species
GGAAUAUUGGACAAUGGGCGCAAGCCUGAUCCAGCCAUGCCGCGUGUGUGAAGAAGGCCUUCGGGUUGUAAAGCACUUUCAGCGAGGAGGAAGGGUGUUGUGUUAAUAGCACAGCACUUUGACGUUACUCGCAGAAGAAGCACCGGCUAACUCCGCUCCAGCAGCCGCGGUAAUACGGAGGGGGCAAGCGUUGUUCGGAAUUACUGGGCGUAAAGGGCGCGUAGGCGGAACAUCAAGUUAGGGGUGAAAGGCCCGGGCUCAACCUGGGAACGGCCUCUAAAACUGAUGAUCUUGAGUCCGGAAGAGGAUGGCGGAAUUCCCAGUGUAGAGGUGAAAUUCGUAGAUAUUGGGAAGAACACCGGUGGCGAAGGCGGCCAUCUGGUCCGGAACUGACGCUGAGGCGCGAAAGCGUGGGGAGCAAAC